rnacentral:rRNA from 1 species
UACGUAGGGUGCAAGCGUUGUCCGGAAUUAUUGGGCGUAAAGAGCUCGUAGGCGGUUUGUUGCGUCGGCUGUGAAAUCCCGAGGCUCAACCUCGGGUCUGCAGUCGAUACGAGCAAACUAGAGUGUUGCAGGGGAGACUGGAAUUCCUGGUGUAGCGGUGAAAUGCGCAGAUAUCAGGAGGAACACCGGUGGCGAAGGCGGAUCUCUGGGCCUUACCUGACGCUGAGGCGCGAAGGCUAGGGGAGCGAACGGG